rnacentral:rRNA from 1 species
UUAAAAAGCUCGUAGUUGGACUUCUGCGGGUGGCGGCCGGUCGUGCCCUUUUGUGGCGUGAACUUGGCUUCUUGCCGCCCGCAUCUUUGGGGAGAUUGUGCGUGGCAUUAGGUUGUCGUGCAUGGGAUUCUCAUCAUUUACUGUGAAAAAAUUAGAGUGUUUAAAGCAGGCCUUUGCCUUGAAUACAUUAGCAUGGAAUAAUAAGAUAGGACCGUUGUCUAUUUUGUUGGUUUACAGAUGUCGGUAAUGAUUAAUAGGGAUAGUUGGGGGUAUUCGUAUUCAGUUGUCAGAGGUGAAAUUCUUGGAUUUUCGGAAGACGCACGACUGCGAAAGCAUUUACCAAGGAUGUUUUCAUUAAUCAAGAACGAAAGUUAGGGGAUCGAAGAUGAUUAGACACCAUCGUAGUCUUAACCAUAAACGAUGCCGACUCGGGAUUGGCCGCCGUUGAAUUAAUGACACGGUCAGCACCCGUAGGCGAAAGCAAAGUCUUUGGGUUCCGGGGGGAGUAUGGUCGCA